AGUGAACGCUGGCGGCAGGCCUAACACAUGCAAGUCGAACGGCAGCACAGUAAGAUCUUGCUCUUACCGGUUGCGGGUGGCGGGCGUGUGAGGAAUACAUCGGACUCUACUUUUUCGUGUGGGUUAACGUAAGUAAACUUACGCUAAUACCGCAUACGCCCUACCGUUGAAAGCAUGGGAUCUUCUCACCUUUCGCGAUUGAACGAGCCGAUGACGAAUUAGCUAGUUGGCGGGUUAAAGGCCCACCAAGGCGACGAUACGUAGCUGGUCUGAGAGGAUGGUCGGCCACACUGGAACUGGGACACGGUCAAGACUCCUACGGGAGGCAGCAGUGGGGAAUGUUGGACAAUAGGCGCAAGCAUGAUACAGCCAUACCGCGUGGGUGAAGAAGGCCUUCGGGUUGUAAUGACCUUUUGUUGGGAAAGAAAAGCAGUAGGUUAAUACGAAGCUGUUGUGACGGUACUCAAUGAAUAAGCACCGGCUAACUUCGUG
rnacentral:rRNA from 1 species